rnacentral:rRNA from 1 species
CCCGCCUGCCCUGUGACCAAAAGUUUAACGGCCGCGGUAUUUUAACCGUGCAAAGGUAGCGCAAUCAAUUGUCUUUUAAAUGGAGACCUGUAUGAAUGGCAUAACGAGGGUUUUACUGUCUCUUUUUUCUGGUCAAUGAAACUGAUCUGCCCGUGCAGAAGCGGGCAUAAUAACACAAGACGAGAAGACCCUAUGGAGCUUUAGACGCCCACCAACCGCGAAGAGCACCCCGACGACGGGCCACCAAAUAACGCGACCAUGGUAUAAACGUCUUCGGUUGGGGCGACCACGGGGGAACACGAAGCCCCCGAGAGGAUUGGGGAUCCAACCCUAAAACCAAGAGCCACAGCUCUAAGUCACAAAACAUUUGACCCAGAAUGAUCCGGCUCAUUGCCGAUCAACGGACCAAGUUACCCUAGGGAUAACAGCGCAAUCCUCUCCCAGAGUCCAUAUCGACGAGAGGGUUUACGACCUCGAUGUUGGAUCAGGACAUCCUAAUGGUGCAGCCGCU